rnacentral:rRNA from 1 species
CAGUCGCCGCGGUAAUACAGAGGGUGCGAGCGUUAAUCGGAUUUACUGGGCGUAAAGCGUGCGUAGGCUGCUUUUUAAGUCGGAUGUGAAAUCCCUGAGCUUAACUUAGGAAUUGCAUUCGAUACUGGGAAGCUAGAGUAUGGGAGAGGAUGGUAGAAUUCCAGGUGUAGCGGUGAAAUGCGUAGAGAUCUGGAGGAAUACCGAUGGCGAAGGCAGCCAUCUGGCCUAAUACUGACGCUGAGGUACGAAAGCAUGGGGAGCAAACAGGAUUAGAUACCCCUGUAGUCCCUGUCUCUUAUAC